UUAAAGUAGUAAGGGCGCAGGGUGGAUGCCUUGGCACUAAGAGCCGAUGAAAGACGUGAUAAGCUGCGAAAAGCUUCGGGGAGGAGCACAUAUCCAAUGAUCCGGAGAUAUCUGAAUGGGGAAACCCGGCAGAGGAAACCUCUGUCAGCGUGCAGUGAAUACAUAGCUGUACGUGGGGAACCCGGGGAACUGAAACAUCUAAGUACCCGGAGGAAGAGAAAGAAAAUUUAUCGAUUUCCAAAGUAGCGGCGAGCGAAAUGGAAAGAGCCCAAACCGUGAUGCGUGCAUCGCGGGGUUCGGACUGCGUUGUGGCAGACGUAAGAUAGGAGAACGGACUGGGAAGUCCGGCCGGAGAGAGUGAAAGCCUCGUAUCCGAAAUCCCAAGUCGCCUAGCAGGAUCCAGAGUAGGACGAGACACGAGAAACCUUGUCUGAACGAGCGGGGACCACCCCGUAAGGCUAAAUACUUCUUAGUGACCGAUAGCGCAUAGUACUGUGAAGGAAAGGUGAAAAGUACCCCGGGAGGGGAGUGAAAGAGAACCUGAAACCCUGUGUCUACAAGCUGUGGGACCUCUUUAUAUGAGGGACUGCGUACUUUUUGUAGAACGGUCCGGCGAGUUGUGCGUACUGGCGAGGUUAAGGACUUAAGGUCUGGAGCCGAAGUGAAAGCAAGCGUUAAGAGCGCGUCAAGUCAGUGAGUGCAGACCCGAAACCGGGUGACCUAUCCAUGUCCAGGUUGAAGCUUCCGUAAGAGGAAGUGGAGGACCGAACCCACAUCCGUUGAAAAGGGUGGGGAUGAGGUGUGGAUAGCGGAGAAAUUCCAAUCGAACCCGGAGAUAGCUGGUUCUCCUCGAAAUAGCUUUAGGGCUAGCCUCAUACAAGUCUGCCGGAGGUAGAGCACUGAAUUUCCGCGGGGGCGUCAAAGCCUACCAAAGAAUAUCAAACUCCGAAUGCCGGACAGAUGGUGUAUGGGAGUCAGACUGUACGAGAUAAGUUGGACAGUCAAAAGGGAAAGAGCCCAGACCGCCGGCUAAGGUCCCAAAGUGGGUGUUAAGUGGAAAAGGAUGUGGGAUCUCUAAGACAACCAGGAUGUUGGCUCAGAAGCAGCCAUUCAUUAAAAGAGUGCGUAACAGCUCACUGGUCGAGAGGUCCUGCGCCGAAAAUGUCCGGGGCUGAAACACCACACCGAAGCCGCGGAACUCGUAAGAGUUGGUAGAGGAGCAUUCUUAGGGGAGGGAAGCAUUACCGGAAGGGGAUGUGGACUGCUAAGAAGAGAGAAUGCCGGAAUGAGUAGCGAGAGCAAGGUGGGAAUCCUUGCGGCCGAAUAUCCAAGGUUUCCAGAGUAAAGCUGAUCUGCUCUGGGUAAGUCGGGGCCUAAGGAGAGGCAGAGAUGCGUAUCCGAUGGACAGCAGGUAAAAGAUUCCUGCACCCCUUGUUAUCAGAACUGCGGGGACACGGGAAGGGAAGCAGAGCCGGGAAUGGAAAGCCCGGUGCAAGCGAAGUAGUCGCAGGAUUGGAAAAUCCGUCCUGCAUGAGACGAAGGCGUGAUGCGGAGCGAAACAAAGUAGCGAAGCUGCGGCCCCUUCCUGUCGAGAAAAGCCGCUAUCGUGUAGCAAGGGCCCGUACCGUAAACCGACACAGGUGGAUGAGGAGAGGAUCCUAAGGCCGGCGGGAGAAGUGUUGUUAAGGAACUCGGCAAAAUGACUCCGUAACUUCGGGAGAAGGAGUGCUGCGCAAGCAGCCGCAGAGAAAUGGCCCAAGCAACUGUUUAGCAAAAACACAGGUCUAUGCGAAACCGAAAGGUGAGGUAUAUGGGCUGACGCCUGCCCGGUGCUGGAAGGUUAAGAGGAGAAGUCAGGCAACGAAGCUUCGAAUUUAAGCCCCAGUAAACGGCGGCCGUAACUAUAACGGUCCUAAGGUAGCGAAAUUCCUUGUCGGGUAAGUUCCGACCCGC
rnacentral:rRNA from 1 species